UGCAGUCGAACGGAGUUUCACUCCUGCGGCGGACUUCGGUCCAAAGUUUUGUGAAACUUAGUGGCGAACGGGUGAGUAACAGGUAGACAACUUGCCUCAAUGACUGGGAUAACAUCGGGAAACUAGUGCUAAUACCGGAUAGGAUAUAGACUCGCAUGGGUUUAUAUUUAAAGAUGGUUCCGCCAUCACAUUGAGAGAGGUCUGCUUCGUAUUAGCUUGUUGGUGAGGUAAUGGCUCACCAAGGCAAUGAUGCGUAGCCGAGCUGAGAGGCUGAUCGGCCACACUGGAACUGAGACACGGUCCAGACUCCUACGGGAGGCAGCAGUUAGGGAUAUUCGGCAAUGGACGAAAGUCUGACCGAGCAAUGCCGCGUGAAUGAAGAAGUAUUUCGAUAUGUAAAGUUCUGUUGUAAGGAAAGAAUGAUAGUGAUAGGAAAUGAUCAUUAUUUGACGGUACCUUACCAGAAAGCCCCGGCUAACUACGUGCCAGCAGCCGCGGUAAUACGUAGGGGGCGAGCGUUAUCCGGAAUUAUUGGGCGUAAAGGGUGCGUAGGUGGCCUUACAAGUCUGAGUUGAAAGCCCACGGCUUAACCGUGGAGGGUGCUCGGAAACUGUAAGGCUUGAAUCCAGAAGAGGCAAGUGGAAUUCUAUGUGGAGCGGUGGAAUGCGUAGAUAUAUGGAGGAACACCAGUGGCGAAGGCGGCUUGCUGGUCUGGGAUUGACACUGAGGCACGAAAGCGUGGGGAGCAAACAGGAUUAGAUACCCUGGUAGUCCACGCCGUAAACGAUGAGUACUAGUUGUCGGGGAGACUCGGUGACGAACAAAACUAAUUAAGUACUCCGCCUGGGGAUUACGGCCGCAAGGUUGAAACUCAAAGGAAUUGACGG
rnacentral:rRNA from 1 species